rnacentral:rRNA from 1 species
UACGUAGGGGGGCAAGCGUUGUCCGGAAUCAUUGGGCGUAAAGCGCGUGUAGGCGGCCCGGUAAGUCCGCUGUGAAAGUCGGGGGCUCAACCCUCGAAUGCCGGUGGAUACUGUCGGGCUAGAGUGCGGGAGAGGCGAGUGGAAUUCCUGGUGUAGCGGUGAAAUGCGCAGAUAUCAGGAGGAACACCAAUUGCGAAGGCAGCUCGCUGGAACGUAACUGACGCUGAGACGCGAAAGCGUGGGGGAGCAAACAGG